AGUAACGCGUGGGUAACCUGCCUCAUACAGGGGGAUAACAGUUAGAAAUGACUGCUAAUACCGCAUAAGCGCACAGUGCUGCAUGGCACAGUGUGAAAAAACUCCGGUGGUAUGAGAUGGACCCGCGUCUGAUUAGCUAGUUGGUGGGGUAACGGCCUACCAAGCCGACGAUCAGUAGCCGACCUGAGAGGGUGACCGGCCACAUUGGGACUGAGACACGGCCCAA
rnacentral:rRNA from 1 species